rnacentral:rRNA from 1 species
GUAGGGAAUAUUGGACAAUGGGCGAAAGCCUGAUCCAGCAAUGCCGCGUGAGUGAUGAAGGCCUUAGGGUUGUAAAGCUCUUUUACCCGGGAUGAUAAUGACAGUACCGGGAGAAUAAGCUCCGGCUAACUCCGUGCCAGCAGCCGCGGUAAUACGGAGGGAGCUAGCGUUGUUCGGAAUUACUGGGCGUAAAGCGCACGUAGGCGGCGAUUUAAGUCAGAGGUGAAAGCCCGGGGCUCAACCCCGGAAUAGCCUUUGAGACUGGAUUGCUUGAAUCCGGGAGAGGUGAGUGGAAUUCCGAGUGUAGAGGUGAAAUUCGUAGAUAUUCGGAAGAACACCAGUGGCGAAGGCGGCUCACUGGACCGGCAUUGACGCUGAGGUGCGAAAGCGUGGGGAGCAAACAGGAUUAGAAACCCUAGUAGUCC